rnacentral:rRNA from 1 species
UACGUAGGGUGCAAGCGUUACUCGGAAUUACUGGGCGUAAAGCGUGCGCAGGCGGCUUUGCAAGACAGAUGUGAAAUCCCCGGGCUUAACCUGGGAACUGCAUUUGUGACUGCAUGGCUGGAGUGCGGCAGAGGGGGAUGGAAUUCCGCGUGUAGCAGUGAAAUGCGUAGAUAUGCGGAGGAACACCGAUGGCGAAGGCAGCCCCCUGGGCUAACACUGACGCUCAUGCACGAAAGCGUGGGGAGCAAACAGG